GCUAAUAAAAUUCGAGAAGAGUGGUUUCAAAUUAUACAAAAACCAAGGUUAAAGUAUAAUGUUUAUUAAAUGCGGCUAAAUGGAUAAAUUGAGUCAACAAAUAAUAAAGAUAGGAUUACUUUGUGGAAGUAAUCCUUUCUUCAAAGGAAAGAAUUGAAUAAAGAAUCUUUGAUGGCUGCAGCAGGAAAGUAAACAUCUAACACGAUUAUCUUCGCUCUAAAAAGCUUUAUAAAUUAUUGCUUUAUUAUCAAAUGAUUUAUUAAUAUUGGAUGAUUUGUUGAGAGAUUAUGAUAGAAGAAUCACUCCAAAUCAUAAGCAGACAUUACCGACAGUUGUUAAAUGCGAAUUAUAUUUAAGAAGUUUUGGAGCUGUGAAUCCGGCAACAAUGG